rnacentral:rRNA from 1 species
UACAGAGGGUGCAAGCGUUGUCCGGAAUUAUUGGGCGUAAAGGGCUCGUAGGCGGUCUGUUGCGUCGGGAGUGAAAAACUCAGGGCUUAACCCUGAGCCUGCUUCCGAUACGGGCAGACUAGAGGUAUGCAGGGGAGAACGGAAUUCCUGGUGUAGCGGUGAAAUGCGCAGAUAUCAGGAAGAACACCAGCGGCGAAGGCGGCACUCUGGGCUGGUAUUGACGCUGAGGAGCGAAAGUGUGGGUAGCAAACAGG